rnacentral:rRNA from 1 species
UACGGGGGGAGCAAGCGUUGUUCGGAUUUACUGGGCGUAAAGGGCUCGUAGGCGGCCAACUAAGUCAGACGUGAAAUCCCCAGGCUCAACCUGGGAACUGCGUCUGAUACUGGAUGGCUUGAAUUCGGGAGAGGGAUGCAGAAUUCCAGGUGUAGCGGUGAAAUGCGUAGAUAUCUGGAGGAAUACCGGUGGCGAAGGCGGCAUCCUGGACCGACAUUGACGCUGAUGAGCGAAAGCUAGGGGAGCAAACGGG